AGAGUUUGAUCCUGGCUCAGAUUGAACGCUGGCGGCAGGCCUAACACAUGCAAGUCGAGCGGUAGCACAGAGAGCUUGCUCUCGGGUGACGAGCGGCGGACGGGUGAGUAAUGUCUGGGAAACUGCCUGAUGGAGGGGGAUAACUACUGGAAACGGUAGCUAAUACCGCAUAAUGUCGCAAGACCAAAGUGGGGGACCUUCGGGCCUCAUGCCAUCAGAUGUGCCCAGAUGGGAUUAGCUAGUAGGUGGGGUAACGGCUCACCUAGGCGACGAUCCCUAGCUGGUCUGAGAGGAUGACCAGCCACACUGGAGCUGAGACACGGUCCAGACUCCUACGGGAGGCAGCAGUGGGGAAUAUUGCACAAUGGGCGCAAGCCUGAUGCAGCCAUGCCGCGUGUGUGAAGAAGGCCUUCGGGUUGUAAAGCACUUUCAGCGGGGAGGAAGGCGGUGAGGUUAAUAACCUCAUCGAUUGACGUUACCCGCAGAAGAAGCACCGGCUAACUCCGUGCCAGCAGCCGCGGUAAUACGGAGGGUGCAAGCGUUAAUCGGAAUUACUGGGCGUAAAGCGCACGCAGGCGGUCUGUCAAGUCGGAUGUGAAAUCCCCGGGCUCAACCUGGGAACUGCAUUCGAAACUGGCAGGCUAGAGUCUUGUAGAGGGGGGUAGAAUUCCAGGUGUAGCGGUGAAAUGCGUAGAGAUCUGGAGGAAUACCGGUGGCGAAGGCGGCCCCCUGGACAAAGACUGACGCUCAGGUGCGAAAGCGUGGGGAGCAAACAGGAUUAGAUACCCUGGUAGUCCACGCCGUAAACGAUGUCGAUUUGGAGGUUGUGCCCUUGAGGCGUGGCUUCCGGAGCUAACGCGUUAAAUCGACCGCCUGGGGAGUACGGCCGCAAGGUUAAAACUCAAAUGAAUUGACGGGGGCCCGCACAAGCGGUGGAGCAUGUGGUUUAAUUCGAUGCAACGCGAAGAACCUUACCUGGUCUUGACAUCCACAGAACUUUCCAGAGAUGGAUUGGUGCCUUCGGGAACUGUGAGACAGGUGCUGCAUGGCUGUCGUCAGCUCGUGUUGUGAAAUGUUGGGUUAAGUCCCGCAACGAGCGCAACCCUUAUCCUUUGUUGCCAGCGGUCCGGCCGGGAACUCAAAGGAGACUGCCAGUGAUAAACUGGAGGAAGGUGGGGAUGACGUCAAGUCAUCAUGGCCCUUACGACCAGGGCUACACACGUGCUACAAUGGCAUAUACAAAGAGAAGCGACCUCGCGAGAGCAAGCGGACCUCAUAAAGUAUGUCGUAGUCCGGAUUGGAGUCUGCAAUUCGACUCCGUGAAGUCGGAAUCGCUAGUAAUCGUAGAUCAGAAUGCUACGGUGAAUACGUUCCCGGGCCUUGUACACACCGCCC
rnacentral:rRNA from 1 species